rnacentral:sRNA from 1 species
GUGGAGUGGCCGGGAGAUGAUGGCUGAUGAAGAGGAAGAAGUCAAGCCGAUCUUGCAGAAAUUGCAGGAACUCGUGGAUCAGCUCUACUCAUUUCGAGACUGCUAUUUCGAGACACAUAGUGUUGAGGAUGCUGGGAGGAAGCAACAGGAUGUGCGGAAGGAGAUGGAGAAAACCCUACAGCAGAUGGAAGAAGUAGUGGGUUCUGUCCAGGGCAAGGCACAAGUUCUGAUGCUAACUGGGAAAGCACUAAAUGUGACUCCUGACUAUAGCCCUAAGGCUGAGGAGCUUCUGUCAAAGGCUGUGAAGCUGGAGCCCGAGCUGGUGGAAGCCUGGAACCAGCUGGGUGAGGUGUACUGGAAAAAAGGGGAUGUUGCAGCUGCCCACACCUGCUUCUCAGGAGCCCUCACCCAUGUGAGCUGCCCCCUAUCCCUUUGGAAAGCACAGAUGGGAAGGAUGAAUUUCUUUGGUUCUAUGAGUUUCCCUAGGACAUGAAUACCAGAGUAGAACUGAAAUUGAACUAGGACAGAAUCAGGAGGGAGGAAAGGUCAGAGAGCAGACCUGAAUGAGGAAAAUAGAGGCAGGGGCCUGGGAAAGGAAGAUGAUGAUGGGAUCAGGUUCAGGGGGAGAAAGGAAGUGAAGAAAAGCUAGCAGCUAAGCUGAUCCUUGUAGAUGGGGGUUGAA